UGGACAGCCAGUAGGGAUCCUUGGAAACAAUGGGAUACUGUUUAUGGAAUCUGCUCAGAAAGGAGCACACUUUAUUGAAUUGUGUACUCAACGUAACAUUCCUCUGAUCUUCCUUCAGAAUAUUACUGGAUUUAUGGGAGACGAUGAAGAAACCAAACAUUGAGAUGAUGAAGCAGAAAGGCCAACCUGAUAAGGGAUAAAACCACCAACUGAUCUGGCAAGGAUAGCAUGUGAUAUUAGACUGCUUUCUGAGGUUGCACUUUUCUAGAUCUACUCCAUUCUGUAGCAAUGUAUAAGCAAAAAAUUAACAUCAGUAUGAUAUAAUUUGCAAGACUAUUUGCACAA